rnacentral:rRNA from 1 species
GAUGAACGCUGGCGGCGUGCCUAAUACAUGCAAGUCGAGCGAACAGACGAGGAGCUUGCUUCUCUGACGUUAGCGGCGGACGGGUGAGUAACACGUGGAUAACCUACCUAUAAGACUGGGAUAACUUCGGGAAACCGGAUCUAAUACCGGAUAAUAUAUUGAACCACAUGGUUCAAUAGUGAAAGACGGUUUUGCUGUCACUUAUAGAUGGAUCCAGGUCGGAUUAGCUAGUUGGUAGGGUAAAGGCCUACCAAGGCGACGAUGCGGAACUGACCUGAGAGGAUGAUCAGUCACACUGGAACUGAGACACGGUCCAGACUCCUACGGGAGGCAGCAGUGGGGAAUAUUGGACAAUGGGCGAAAGCCUGAUCCAGCCAUGCCGCGUGUGUGAAGAGGGUCUUCGGAUUGUAAAGCACUUUAAGUUGGGAGGAAGGGCAGUAAGUUAAUACCUUGCUGUUUUGACGUUACCAACAGAAUAAGCACCGGCUAACUUCGUG